rnacentral:misc_RNA from 1 species
GUGGUUCGUUCCUGCUUCUGAUUGGUUGCUUGGUGUUGGUGCCAGGCGGGCAGUCGUUUGUCGGGCGUUCUUCGGGGAUCAACACCGUGGAGGUGCAUGAGUGGUGUUUGGUUUGUUACGGGUGGUUGGUGUCUGUUUGCGCAGGACCUUCCACGCGUCCAUACCUCUUCAGUUGCGCUACAAGGCUUCUAUAGUCUUGUGGAUUGAGUGGGUUUCUGUGUUGCAUACCUGAUGAAUGGCAUCGUGUGGGUUGAUCAAUGUUUAUUUUCGUAACGCGUCGCUUGCGGCGCUGAACGAACCUCGAAGCGGUCUCUAUGGUCCAUUCUCUCGUUGUUUAUGCAACGAUGGCAUGGCCCAUGGAGCGUCGUUUGGUCCCUUGGAUAAGAACCUGAUAUGGGCCGUGGGAUCUUUACCGAUCCUAUAUUUGCCCUUGCUUAGCGUUCGCGCAUCUCUAAACGACCGUCCACCAUGUGUCGGCAUGUUCGUGCAUGGUGGGCUGUGUCGAAUAGGAAUGC